rnacentral:misc_RNA from 1 species
AAGAGUUAGGGUCCUCUGGGUCCGACCUCCCAACCCUUUGUUUACUGAACCUCUGUUGCUUCGGCGGACCCGCCUCACGGCCGCCGGAGGAUCGCCCCCAGGCGUCCUCUGGCCAGCGCCCGCCGACAACCACUCUCAAAACUCUUGAAUAAAUCAUGUCAUUGUCUAAGUUAUGAUGCAAAUCAAUAAAGCA